CAUGAUUCUUUCAAGAAAAAAGCCAUGGAGGAAGUCGUAGGAUUUUAAGUACACAUACAUAAGUACAUGUAGCUCUCCUCUGUGUGAAGAAAAAGCAGAAAGUAUGUGUCACACUGCCAACAAUGACAAAGGAUGGAAGCUCUCACCAGAAAUGAUAACCUCUAUAUCAAAAUGAUUGCAAUUCCUUCUGUAUUUUCAGUUCUGCAGAGGAUGGACGAUGAACACACUCUGGGGAUGGAGUGUGCUCUCUACAGAGGUCAGUGUCUGGAGCUGGUACAGUCCUUUAACACUUUUCAAUAUUUUGUGCUGCUUAUGGAAGGGUUUUAGACACUCUGACUCUGUCACUGCUCUUUUUUUCUUUCAUGUCCAUACUCCUCUGCAUAUUAUAUUUCUCCACUUGUACCAGGAGACAAGGUAUUUGUUUAAUACAAACAGGAGCUUGGUUUGUCAUUAAGGACACUGUGCAUCUUACUGUACUUUCAGCAUUGUUUCAGCUUUUGGGACAAUGCUGUUUCCUCUUCCCUGCUGCUGUACCACUUAAAAUAUUGACUUCCUGGCAGUUAAUGACCUGCUGUCACACUU